CACCAGAUUGUAAACUAAAGGGCAUCAUUCCAAAAGAAAUUGGUAAUCUUACUGGAGUGAUACAUAUGAGUCUGCAUUAGAAUGAGUUGACUGGACAUAUUCCAAAUACUAUCCAAGGCAUGCUGAACCUUCAAGAACUUUACCUAAAAAGCAACAAGAUAGAGUGAGUCAUACCAGAUUUUAUAUGCAAUUUAAAGAAUCCGGUGCAUUAGACUUGUCAGGAAAUCAGUUUUCUGGUUCAGUGCCACCAUGCAUAGGGAAUGUUACGAGUUUGAGAAAUCUUUAUCUAGAUUACAACAGGCUGGAUUCUAGAUUACCUGCAAGUAUUGGGGGCCUUCACGAUCUCAUAGAAUUCAAUAUUUCAUCCAAUUUAUUGAGUGGGACAAUUCGCCAGGAGAUUGGAAAUUUAAAGGCUGUAACUCUAGUUGAUCUGUCAAAAAAUAAUUUUUCUGGUAAGAUUCCAAGCAUUCUAGGGGAUCUAGAUAAAUUGAUUAAUCUUUCUAUGGCACAUAAUAGAUUAGAUGGGCCUAUUCCAUAUUCAUUUGGCAAACUGGUGGCAUUGGAAUUCUUGGAUUUGUGCUAUAACAAUCUUGGCGGUGAAAUUCCAAAGUUAUUAGAAGCUCUUGUGUAUCUCAAAUACCUGAACUUCUCAUUCAAUAACCUUAAAGGAGAGAUUCCCAUUGGCGGUCCUUUUGCAAAUGUCACUAGUCAAUCUUUCCUGUCUAAUGAUGCACUCUGUGGUGACUCCCGGUUUAAUGUAAAACCAAACUAAAUCUACAGAGAGGUCAAGAGGAAAAAGAGUGCUUAUAGGUUUAUACACGUUGUUAGGGACUGGAUCAUUCCUUACAUUGGCCGUUGGAUAUAUGGUGUUAAGAUUGAGAAAGAGAAAGAAGAAUGCAGGUCAAGCAGAUGUAUCUCUGGCAAAUGGGCAUGAAAGAAUAUCCUAUUAUGAACUUGAACAGGCAACAGAAGGCUUCAAUGAAAGCAACUUGCUUGGGAAAGGGAGUUUCAGCAUUGUCUACAAAGGGAUACUUAAGGAUGGUACCUUUUUCGCAGCAAAGGUAUUUAAUGUUCAGCAGGAGGGUGCAUUCAAAAGCUUUGACACAGAAUGUGAGAUACUUCGCAACCUUCGCCACAGAAAUCUGACCAAAAUCAUAACGAGCUGCUCCAACCUGGAUUUCAAG
rnacentral:lncRNA from 1 species